CCUACGGGCGGCUGCAGUGGGGGAUAUUGCACAAUGGGGGGAACCCUGAUGCAGCGACGCCGCGUGGGUGAAGGAGUGCUUCGGCAUGUAAAGCCCUAUCGGCAGGGAAGAAGCAAUACGGUACCUGACUAAGAAGCCCCGGCUAACUACGUGCCAGCAACCGCGGUAAUACGUAGGGGGCGAGCGUUAUCCGGAUUCACUGGGUGUAAAGGGAGCGUAGACGGCCAUGCAAGCCAGGGGGGAAAGCCCGGGGCCCAACCCCGGGACUGCCCUUGGAACUGUGCGGCUAGAGUGCGGGAGGGGCAGGCGGAAUUCCUGGUGUAGCGGUGAAAUGCGUAGAUAUCAGGAGGAACACCGGCGGCGAAGGCGGCCUGCUGGACCGCGACUGACGUUGAGACUCGAAAGCGUGGGGAGCGAACAGGAUUAGAUACCCCUGUAGUC
rnacentral:rRNA from 1 species